UGGUUCUUUCCUCAGUUGAUAAUUAAAUUAAAAUGUGGCCAUUUUGUUAAACUUAGGAGACUACAGUUCUGAAUUUUUGGUUAAAGGUUUUGGUUGCUAUAAAAAUGUUAUUUUGAAUAUAUUUUAAAUUGUAAGAAUAAAAGAAUUUUUCAUUUAAUUGGAAUGAUUUUCCACAAAUAGGGUAGGUUUCCACAAACAAGGCAAUUGUAAAUUUAAAGCAUUAGCAUUUAUUAGUGAAAAUGUAUAUAUUCCUGUUCCAAGAAACAUGUGAAUGAAGUUGAAAUCAAUGCUUUAAAGUUUACUAUGUCAAUAAAUAUAAUAAGUGCUUUAAAGUUUACAAUAUUGCCAAGGGUUUCACAAACCUUCUCUUGUAUUCAUCAGUUAAGUCACGUAAAAUGAUUACGACUAAAAAAAAAAUUACUCUUUACCACUGCAAACAUUUAAUUUAGACCUAUCCCAUCCUCUAGGUGGCAUAUAGUUAUGAGCAUUAUAACCUACAACUUGAUAGUCCAAGAUAUGUCAUUCAAAUAUUGGUAUACCUUCUCUCCCCAAGGGUUAUUAUUUGGUGUUUUGCAGACCCUUGAUAAUGACAAAGACAUUAAAGUUAGGCAGAUCUUGAGCUCCAGCUCACCAAGAGUUCUUAACCAAAAUCCCUGCCAUAAUUUAUGGCAGAUUAAUUAUUUACAUUCUGAUAGAUAAUUCUGAGACUAUUUUAACAUUACAUGUAUACAUGCUUAUAUCCUUACAAAAGAAAAGAGACAUUUCUGACAUUGUUUAGAAUAUGACAUAUAAUUAUGUGAACAUAUAUUGUCUUGAAUUCAUCAUUUACACAAUCACAGGCAAUAACUGAUCAAAGUCAGCAUUGAUCCUUACUUUCCCUUUUGUUCAAUCUGGGUGUAUCCUUUCUAAUACAUAUCCACUAUUGUAGGACAUAUUACACAUAGUGAGCACUCCACUAUUGUCCAAAGGAUAAAAAUGUUUAGGGGAAAAAUUAAAUGAUCUUUUGAUUCAUCUCAUAAUUUACCUAUUAUCUGGCUACCUAAUAUGACCACAGUGACUAUUUGCAGUAAUUGUAGGGCUAACUACUUGUCCUUGAAUAUUCUUCUUAGUUAAGCAUGAAAUUUUACCAGUUAACAUUUCUGAAUGUAGAAAACCAACAAUAAACUCAUAACUCACAGCCCCUCCUGACUUCAGAUGCAGUUCUUCACAUUUCCAAAGCUACCCUUGUCAGUGAUUUGCCCACUGCCUUUCUGCCUAUGUCUACACACGCAGAGAGAGAGAAAGAAAGGCUCGAAUACCGUUCGAGUUAAAACAAAAUUUUUAAAAACACCUUGAUAUUGGAGAAGGCAAGAUCUGAAGGCAAUCCUUACUAGACAAAUUCUCCAGGUAACUGCUCACCUUCUGUUUCUUACAUAGGCACAGACUUGCUCACUUAAGGUGAGGAACCACACAUAUCUCUUCAUCAUCUGGGAGAGCAAAAAUGACUGUUUAAUCUCCAUUUCCU